AUGGUUAAGCUAGAAAGGGCGCACGGUGAAUGCCUUGGCACUAGGAGCCGAUGAAGGACGGGACGAACACCGAAAUGCUUCGGGGAGCUGUAAGUAAGCUUUGAUCCGGAGAUAUCCGAAUGGGGGAACCCACCAUCCGUAAUGGGAUGGUAUCCAUACCUGAAUCCAUAGGGUAUGAGAAGGCAGACCUGGGGAACUGAAACAUCUUAGUACCCAGAGGAAGAGAAAGAAAAUUCGAUUUCCUGAGUAGCGGCGAGCGAAACGGAAAGAGCCCAAACCAAGAGGCUUGCCUCUUGGGGUUGUAGGACACUCCAUACGGAGUUACAAAGAAACGGCGUAGAUGAAGCGAUCUGGAAAGAUCCGCGAGACAAGGUAACAGCCCUGUAGUCGAAAUGUCGUUUCCUCCGGAGUGUAUCCUGAGUACGGCGGGACACGUGAAACCCCGUCGGAAUCUGGGAGGACCAUCUCCCCAGGCUAAAUACUCCCUAGUGACCGAUAGUGAACCAGUACCGUGAGGGAAAGGUGAAAAGCACCCCGGGAGGGGAGUGAAAUAGAUCCUGAAACCGUGUGAUCUACCCAUGUCCAGGGUGAAGUCCAGGUAACACUGGAUGGAGGCCCGAACCCACGCACGUUGAAAAGUGCGGGGAUGAGGUGUGGGUAGGGGUGAAAUGCCAAUCGAACACGGAGAUAGCUGGUUCUCCCCGAAAUAGCUUUAGGGCUAGCCUCG
rnacentral:rRNA from 1 species